GCGCCAGUAGUGUAGCGGUUAUCAUUGUUGCCUUCCACGAUCAUUUAGCCAAUAGAAAUUGGUUAUUUGCUUACGUAAUCAGCAUCAGACCUGGGUUCGACUCCCGGCUGGCGCA